GUCGAACGAAGUUUUUCUUUCGGGAGGAACUUAGUGGCGGACGGGUGACCAUCGCGUGGGUAACCUGCCCUGUACAGGGGGACAACAGCUGGAAACGGCUGCUAAUACCGCAUAAGCCCUUAGCACUGCAUGGUGCAUAGGGAAAAGGAGCAAUCCGGUACAGGAUGGACCCGCGUCUGAUUAGCCAGUUGGCAGGGUAACGGCCUACCAAAGCGACGAUCAGUAGCCGAUCUGAGAGGAUGUACGGCCACAUUGGGACUGAGACACGGCCCAGACUCCUACGGGAGGCAGCAGUGGGGAAUAUUGCACAAUGGAGGAAACUCUGAUGCAGCGACGCCGCGUGAGUGAAGAAGUAUUUCGGUAUGUAAAGCUCUAUCAGCAGGGAAGAAAAUGACGGUACCUGACUAAGAAGCACCGGCUAAAUACGUGCCAGCAGCCGCGGUAAUACGUAUGGUGCAAGCGUUAUCCGGAUUUACUGGGUGUAAAGGGAGCGUAGGUGGCAAGGCAAGCCAGAAGUGAAAACCCGGGGCUCAACCGCGGGAUUGCUUUUGGAACUGUCAUGCUAGAGUGCAGGAGGGGUGAGCGGAAUUCCUAGUGUAGCGGUGAAAUGCGUAGAUAUUAGGAGGAACACCGGAGGCGAAGGCGGCUCACUGGACUGUAACUGACACUGAGGCUCGAAAGCGUGNGGAGCAAACAGGAUUAGAUACCCUGGUNGUCCACGCGGUAAACGAUGAAUACUAGAUGUCGGGUAGCACAGCUACUCGGUGUCGU
rnacentral:rRNA from 1 species